rnacentral:rRNA from 1 species
UGUGUAGGCGGUGCUCUAAGUCUGUUGUGAAAUCUCCCGGCUCAACUGGGAGGGUGCGGCGGAAACUGGAGUGCUCGAGUAUGGGAGAGGUAAAGCGGAAUUCCUGGUGUAGCGGUGAAAUGCGUAGAUAUCAGGAGGAACACCUGUGGUGUAGACAGCUUACUGGACCAUCACUGACGCUGAGACACGAAAGCGUGGGUAGCAAACA